rnacentral:rRNA from 1 species
CCCUUAGAUGUUCUGGGCUGCACGCGCGCUACACUGAAGCGUUCAACGAGUAUUCACCUUGCCCGGGAGGGUUGGGUAAUCUUUUGAAAACGCUUCGUGAUGGGGAUAGAUUAUUGCAAUUAUUAAUCUUCAACGAGGAAUUCCUAGUAAGCGCGAGUCAUCAGCUCGUGCUGAUUACGUCCCUGCCCUUUGUACACACCGCCCGUCGCUACUACCGAUUGGAUCAUUUGGUGAGGCCCACGGACUGUUGUGCUUCCUUCCUCGUGUUGGUUGCACUUCUUGGGAAGUGGUACGAACCUGAUGAUCUAGAGGAAGUAAAAGUCGUAACA